rnacentral:rRNA from 1 species
AUAGUCCUGUAUGUUAAACGAGAAGACUUCAGAUAUGAUCCAGAGUACCACGGGACACGUGAAACCCUGUGGGAAGCAGGAGGGACCACCCUCCAAGGCUAAAUACUACCUAGUGACCGAUAGCGUAUAGUCCCGUGAGGGAAAGGUGAAAAGAACCCCGGGAGGGGAGUGAAAUAGAACCUGAAACCCUGCACUUACAAG